rnacentral:misc_RNA from 1 species
UGUGAACGUUACCAAACUGUUGCCUCGGCGGGAUCUCUGCCCCGGGUGCGUCGCAGCCCCGGACCAAGGCGCCCGCCGGAGGACCAACCAAAACUCUUAUUGUAUACCCCCUCGCGGGUUUUUUUAUAAUCUGAGCCUUCUCGGCGCCUCUCGUAGGCGUUUCGAAAAUGAAUCAAAACUUUCAACAACGGAUCUCUUGGUUCUGGCAUCGAUGAAGAACGCAGCGAAAUGCGAUAAGUAAUGUGAAUUGCAGAAUUCAGUGAAUCAUCGAAUCUUUGAACGCACAUUGCGCCCGCCAGUAUUCUGGCGGGCAUGCCUGUCCGAGCGUCAUUUCAACCCUCGAACCCCUCCGGGGGGUCGGCGUUGGGGAUCGGCCCUGCCUUGGCGGUGGCCGUCUCCGAAAUACAGUGGCGGUCUCGCCGCAGCCUCUCCUGCGCAGUAGUUUGCACACUCGCAUCGGGAGCGCGGCGCGUCCACAGCCGUUAAACACCCAACUUCUGAAAUGUUGACCUCGGAUCAGGUAGGAAUACCCGCUGAACUUAAGCAUAUCAAUAAGCGGAGGAAAAGAAACCAACAGGGAUUGCCCCAGUAACGGCGAGUGAAGCGGCAACAGCUCAAAUUUGAAAUCUGGUCCCUAGGGCCCGAGUUGUAAUUUGUAGAGGAUGCUUUUGGUGAGGUGCCGCCCGAGUUCCCUGGAACGGGACGCCACAGAGGGUGAGAGCCCCGUCUGGCUGGCCGCCGAGCCUCUGUAAAGCUCCUUCGACGAGUCGAGUAGUUUGGGAAUGCUGCUCAAAAUGGGAGGUAUAUGUCUUCUAAAGCUAAAUAUUGGCCAGAGACCGAUAGCGCACAAGUAGAGUGAUCGAAAGAUGAAAAGCACCUUGAAAAGAGGGUUAAAUAGUACGUGAAAUUGUUGAAAGGGAAGCGCUUGUGACCAGACUUGGGCGCGGCGGAUCAUCCGGGGUUCUCUCCGGUGCACUUCGCCGCGUCUAGGCCAGCAUCAGUUCGUCGCGGGGGGAAAAAGGCUUCGGGAACGUGGCUCCCUCCGGGGAGUGUUAUAGCCCGUUGCAUAAUACCCUGGCGGUGGACUGAGGACCGCCAUC